AUUGAACGCUGGCGGCAGGCCUAACACAUGCAAGUCGAGCGGUAACACAGAGAGCUUGCUCUCGGGUGACGAGCGGCGGACGGGUGAGUAAUGUCUGGGAAACUGCCUGAUGGAGGGGGAUAACUACUGGAAACGGUAGCUAAUACCGCAUAACGUCGCAAGACCAAAGAGGGGGACCUUCGGGCCUAUUGCCAUCAGAGGUGCCCAGAUGGGAUUAGCUAGUAGGAGGGGUAACGGCUCACCUAGGCGACGAUCCCUAGCUGGUCUGAGAGGAUGACCAGCCACACUGGAACUGAGACACGGUCCAGACUCCUACGGGAGGCAGCAGUGGGGAAUAUUGCACAAUGGGCGCAAGCCUGAUGCAGCCAUGCCGCGUGUAUGAAGAAGGCCUUCGGGUUGUAAAGUACUUUCAGCGGGGAGGAAGGCGAUAAGGUUAAUAACCUUGUCGAUUGACGUUACCCGCAGAAGAAGCACCGGCUAACUCCGUGCCAGCCGCCGCCGUAA
rnacentral:rRNA from 1 species